CUUAUCACUACUAGAUUUUAUUAGGCCAUUAAAGAUCUCAACUGAAGACUUUGGCAAACUCUGGUUGUCUUUUGCAAAUGAUGUGAAGCAAAAUAUAAAAAUAUCAGAGCCUCGAGUUGCACUGGCUUCUGUCCUGACAGAGCUGCAGCAGAAACUCAGACUUUGCGUGGUUGACGUCAUAGGCAGUGAAGGUCUGCUGGCCUGUAAGCUGCUUCCGUCCACCCCCUGUAUCCUGCACUGCCGAGUACACGCUGACGUGGUAGCCCUGUGGUUCCGAUCCUCUAGCUCUGUUCUUUCAGACUGUUUAUCUUGUCACUGUCAGAAAGUGAUGCAGAUGUAGAGGACACAGAGACUGAUCAUCACCUGAAUCACACUUGGCUUUGGAGUACAGAACUUGUUGUAAGGAUAGUCUGUGCUCCCAGUUCUGUUUUGCUCAGGUCAGGGUUAAACUGAGGUGGCCUAACAUGUACUAACCAUUGUACAAGACCAUGAGCAUGCUGGGUAUGGGGCAAACACAAUCUGUGUUUUUUUACUUUUUAACUUGUUAUACUUAAUUUUAAGUAAUUUGAUCAUAAAGUAUAUCUGUUUCCUAUUAGAUCCUUUUUGUAGUUAAAAUUUUUGACCAUAGAAUAAAUGGCCAAUUGAU
rnacentral:lncRNA from 1 species